CAAGCUGUGAGUGUGAAUAUUUCGGCUUGUAUGGUCAUGAAAAAAUAUCAUCACAAAGUCAAUAUUUGUAGGAUUUUUGCAUGUUAAGUAUGAUUUUUUUAUUUCUCAUCAAAUACACAUUCAAUCGUAACUAAAAUCAUGAAGAAUAAACAUGUUCAAUGUGCUUUUCUGUCAUUCUUCGUUUGGUCGUUGAAGGGUUCGGACGUGUUUUUCGAAGCUCUCGACGUCGUGACCUCAUUAUAAUUUGAACUGCGCGGGUAAAGAACGCUCAGUUGCGACUUGGAGAUUGACCAAUACGGACGUGUUUUUAAAGCGCUCUGAAAAAAGUUUUGACUUUUAAAUUUUUUUUACUACGACAGAAUCUUAGUUGACUGAUGGUCUUUGACAAAGACAGACUUGUUUUUGUGAGCUCUGAAAAAAAUUUGACUUUGAAAUAUUUUUACGAUUAAAAAGUUUCAGUUGACUUUUGAACGUUGACGAAGACGGACGUACUUUCGUGAGCUCUGACUAUUGAUGAAAAGUUUUGAGUUUUACUGACUUGUACUUUGAGAGUAAAAUUGACUUCGCGUUAUAGAAUAGCGACUUGGUACUCAGGUUGUUGAAUGACUGGAUGACUGAAGUGUUAGGUUAUUGUUAUGAGAUAACAACUUGACUUUGACUUGAGUUGUGAAAUGAAACCAUACUCUUAUGCGAUGUUAACUUUUGAACGUUUAGUAUUGACUGACAACGAAAUUUUGUGAGCGUUAUAUAUGAAAUGUUUGACUUACAUUAAUUUUUUUGAACGACUUGACUUCACUUUAAGUUUUGACAUCGGACUGAUCGGACGUGUUUUUUUAAGCUCUGACUGUUGUGAAUAAUUAAAUUUAUGUUGUGGUGUCAAGCGAUUGACUGUCAGUUGAGGUUCAGAUGUCGAGCUGUGCGGACGUGUUCAUCGAGCUGCUGUCUACAAAAAACGGGGCUGUGGUGAGUAUUGUAGUAUAAAUUUGUUUCAAUAAAUCAUGAUGAAUGAAAACUGAUUUCGAUUCGUUUUGUACAGGUUUACUUGUAUAGAAGUGUAAUGCGUUGGGUAGAAAUUACUCAGUACUGAUAUAGUGUCGAUAUGUUGUGAUUAGCGAUGAUGGUGUAUGAUGGUGGAACAGAAUAUGAGCUACUUUGGGGAAACGAACAUAUGAUUGAAAAAAAUUUGCAAACAUAGUAGAUAAAUGAUAUGAUAUUGCUUAAAUUGUAUUUGCAUGCUGUAACAUUUCUAUUUCAUUUCAGGGUGCUGUGGUGAGUACUGUAGAUUGUAGUGCAUAUGUAUAGAAUUCAAUAAAAGAUUAUGACUGAAAACUGCUUUUGAUUCUUAUUGUACAGUUUUAGGGAUUAUAAGUCUAUAACAACUCUGUCGGUUGGUGUUCAUGAGUGUGAGCUUAAUACAGCAAUGUUUGAGUAGUACAAAAAUGUUUUCGCUUUUGUGGUCGCCAGCUGUCCGUGAUCUGUAAAGUGAAAAUACACAGAGCUAUGAAGCAUACAAAUGUUUCGAAAUUUUAUCAAUGAUUGUAUACUAUGCAUGUUUUGAUUUAGUUCGUUUCAGAUUUGACAUGAGAUGAAAACCUGACAUGAUUUGAACAGAGCUGGGAAACGAAAAGGUAAGUCUGUUUCAUUCCACUAUGAACACUUGUAUUUUGACAAAAGAAGAGAUAAAGUGAGUUACUUUAUCAUCAUGGUUUCAUUUAGUGAACAGAGGUAAACCUAGCUAGCUUUUCGUGUACUCUAUUUUGGAUGAAGAGUUUGUUAGUAACUUAAAUUGUACGGCUAGUAAAGUAUGAACAUGAAUGCUUUGUUCAGAUUUUCAGAUGUGUGCUGGCAGUUCAAGUCUGGCAGCCGGAGUGAACAGUCGUGAUUUCUGGAGCUCCAACAAGAUGCUAGAAGGUAAGUAACUAUGUUUGUUUUGCAUUGCAUGUUUUUAUAUGUUUCAGACUUUCAAGCAGAGAUGUCAUGCUGACUGGAGUUGAGCACAGGGCAGUGACAAAGUGAAAGGUAAGUACUUUUGACUGAAUGUUUGUUCUAUGCAUGUUUUGUUUUAAUACAUUUCAGGAGUGCUUAUCCAGUGAUGAUAUGACAGUUGGAGUGAACAGUGGAGCCAAGCAGUCUUGUUUUUGGAGCUACUCAACAAGCCUUGAAGGUAAGUUUAGAAUUCCUCAAUGUUAGUGAAUUAUUUAAAAAAAAUGCUGUCAGUAAAGUACUGUCAGUUGCUUUUGGACAGUCGAACAGAACAGACGUGGUUGCGAGAGCUCUCAUAUCUGUUGUGUUAAACUGUUUUUAUGAUAUGUUAUGUUUGUUUGUUUGUUUGUUUGUUGGUGUUGUACUAUUUUUCAGAUGCUGUUGGCAGUGAUGGGUUUUCAAGCUGACCUGAACAGAAAAGCAAUCAUAUGGUAAGUACAAAUAGUUUUUAUAUGGUAUGUUUUGUGCAUGCUAUGUUUCAGGUGUACUUGUAGUCAGCGACGAAGACGAUUCAAGAAGAGGAACAUUGCUGAGAAAGUGAAUGGGACUUGCAAACAGGGUAAGUGUUACAAUUGUUUGUUUGAUUUUUACCAUGCAUACUUUGCUUUGCUCUGUUUCAGAUUUCACAUGCAGAAAUUAAACAGGAUUUCAACUGCUGAGACACAAAUCAUCAAAAGUAAGGUAAGUUUUAAUCCAUUGAUUUGAGUUGUACAAUGUGUUCUUUACUUUAUUUCAGAUUCGAGUCACUGGUUUACACAUGGAAGAAGAUUUCCACGUCUGUUACUCAACUCUACAGAAGCAAGGUAAGUCGAUCAAAUUUUUGUUUUCAUUUGUACUGCUGUAAUGUGAUGGUAAACUUAUGCUAUUUUUCAUGUGUGUCAUGUACAGAUGGAUAAUUCAAGUUUGAUCUGUGUUGGUUUAUGUUCAAAAACGUUUUACAUGUAUGUGUGUUUGAAGAUGUUUUGUUUCAGUGGAUGUCCAGAUGGCAAGCAGUACAGACGUGUUUCUUGGAGCUGCCAAACAGUGAGUACAAACGUUUUAUAUUUUUCAGUUGUUUACUCAUAGAAGUCUGUGAAAGAUGAUAACAAGGGUUGAAUCUAUCAGUACUUGUGUCUAAAAAUGCUGAUGUGUGACGGUUAACUGAAAAGGGUAAAUGCUAGCCAGUACUAACACUUGAGCAACCGUGGGAUGUCGAACUAACUGAUGAUGUACUAUGAUGGUGAACACUUACUAUGUGUAUCGAAAUGCUUUUGUUGAUAUUUAUUAUAGAUGAUUUGAUAUUGGUUAACAUUUGUUUGCAUGCUGUUAACAUUUCUAUUUCAUUUCAGGGAGCUGUGGUGAGUAUUGUAGUAUACAUUUGUUUCAAUAAUGUUUGAGUAGUACAAAAAUGUCUUUACUUUUGUGAUCGCCAGUUGUCUGUGAUAUGUAACGUAAACAAAAAACACAGCUAUGAAGCAUACAAUUGUUUCGAAAUUUUAUCAAUGAUUGUAUACUAUGCAUGUUUUGAUUUAGUUCGUUUCAGAUAUGACAUGACAUGAAGAGUUGACAGUCGAACAGAGCUGAGCAACGCAAAAAGGUAAGUGUGUUUCAUUUUAGUAUGAACACUUGUAUUUUGUUUUUAUAUGGUAUGUUUUGUACAUGCUAUGUUUCAGGUGUACUUGUAGUCAGCGACGAAGACGAUUCAAGAAGAGGAACAUUGCUGAGAAAGUGAAUGGGACUUGCAAACAGGGUAAGUGUUACAAUUGUUUGUUUGAUUUUUACCAUGCAUACUUUGCUUUGCUCUGUUUCAGAUUUCACAUGCAGAAAUGGUCUCAUAGCAGUGCCAACAGUGAAUAAGGAUUUCAACUGCUGUGAAACAACUCAACAGAAAGUAGGUAAGCAUUGAAUGAAUGCACUUGAGUUGUACAAUAUGAUGUGAUGCUUUUCUCUGUUUCAGAUUCAAGUUCCUGGUGUAGACAGAGAAAUGUGUUUGAAGAAGGAAUUCUACUACUGUGAUUCAACUCUACAGAAGCAAGGUUUCAAUUGCAGAGAUGUUGCAGAGAUGUUUUGACAGCUUGUGGCAGAAAAGAAAUUCAGCAUCUGUUUCUCGACUCUAGCCACGAGGUAAGUCAAAACAAAUAUACUGGUUUGUAUGUAAUGUUGUUAUGCCCUUCUAUGUUUCAGACUUACAUUGCUGUGACUGUUCCACAGUGGGUCAAAAAAGAGACGAAUACAGGUUUCAAGAAGAAAAUUGGCUGUUAAAAACCUGCACAAAAUAUGAGGUAAGUAAACUACUCUUUUGGUUUGUUUUGUGCUUUGUUAUGCUUAACUAUUUUUCAGAUUGGAAUGGUGGGUCGUUACAGAGCAGACUUUUGGACUACUGAGAAGUUGAGAAACAGAGAAUGAUUCAAGAUCAGCUAGGUAAGUCUUGAUUAUUAUGCAUUGCUAAAUGUUUUUUUCAUUCCAGUAUGGCUGUGGUAAGUACACAAACUUUCUAUAAUUUAAUAUUGAACUGUUUUUAUGACCUGUAUUCUGCAUUGUAAAAUGUCUGUUUUUCAUUUCAGUAUCCUGUGGUAAGUACAAUUGCCUUCUUUAAUUUUCAUAUUGAACUGUUUUGAUGACUUGUAUACUACUAUGCAAUGCUUAAUGUUUUUUUCAUUUCAGUAGCCUGUUGGUAAGUACACUAACUUUCUAUAAUUUCAUAGUGAAUUGUUUUGAUGACCUGUAUUCUGCAUUGUAAAAUGUGUUUCUUUUUCAUUUCAGUAUGGCUGUGGUAAGUACAAUUGCCUUUCAUAUUGAACUGUUUUGAUGACCUGUAUUUUGCAUUGUAAAAUGUGUUUCUUUUUCAUUUCAGUAUGGCUGUGGUAAGUACACAAACUUUCUUUAAUUUUCAUAUUGAACUGUUUUGAUGACUUGUAUUCUGCUAUACAAAAUGUGCUUUUUUCAAUUUCAGGUCAGCAAUGGUAAGUAUAGUGUGUUUUUUUAUGUAUAAUUUUGUAUACAUAUUGUUUUUUUCAUCAUAGCAUGUCUUUUAUAUUUAUGCUUUGUGUAAGUAAAAUGUUCAUAAAUCAUUCUUAUCUUCAAACUAAAAAUGUAUUGUGCUAUGCAAAAUGUCUGUAUGAUUUCAGUUGCCAGAGGUGAGUACCAUUACAGUUGAAAAGUUAGUUUUGUUUAGUUAAAGUUUUGGUUCACAGUUUUAUUUGUUAUUUGGCAAAAUUUACAUGUAUGCAUUGAGUCUUGAUUUCAGCUAGAUUGUGGACUGAAGAAGAUUGCCAGCAGAGGGAUUGGAUACAAGAUACAAAGUAAGUACUGAGUUUCUUACUAAAAGUUUUGAGUUGUAUUCAUCGUGUGUUAAUAUGCUAUGAUUGCUAUGAACAUGACUUUUGUAUUUCAGCGAAGAUAACAUAGGUAAGUAAAAUUGUUAUCUGUUUCAUGUUUACUGUUACAGUUCAAUAUUGUGUUUAUAAAUUGUAAGUUGUACAAACACAUUCAAAAGUUUCUGAUCAUGCUUUCGAUUUCAUUUCAGCUUUACUGCUUGACGAGUGUUAUCAACUACUAGACGAGUCAGCUUUACUACCAGGCGAGCAGUGACAACAAGGCGCCUUUGUGGAAACAACACAACAAAAAACUGUACUGCUAGACGAGCAGUGACAGAAAGGCGCCUGAACAUGCAACACAAUACAAAAAAUGCCAAUUUGCAAACCUUGAUGUGGACACCGAGUAGUCAAUACAUACGUGUGGGGUACAGCUGCGACAAAACCGUGGGUCCAUCGCACCGAUAACUUGAACAUUGGCCCGCGUAUGGACAUCAGUGCAACUUUGUGAAUCCAUGUAACUUUGUGAAUCCAUGUAACAUUGCGAAUAUGUGUCGAUCAAAAAAUGUGAACAUUAUGCAAUGAAACGAACUCGGUGUUGCAAGUGGCAAGUGUUGACAGUGUGUAUGUUUAUGUUUAUGUUUUUACAUGAAAAAUAAAGGAGAUUGUUCUCCUACCUUUUUUUUCCUUGUUUUAUUGUGCUGGCCAGCAAUAUUGAUGUAUUGAUGUAUUGAUGUAUGUGUUUGUGUAUUAACGAUGUAUUAACUAUGCAUUACCAAAAUCAAACAAAACUUUGGCACAAGAGACUCUAAGUAUCAAAUACCAACAAUUUAAGCGCAGACAAUCACAUGGUGGUACACCAGUCCGAAUAUACUCAUUGCUCUAGCCAGGAUUGCAAAUUACUUGUGUUGACUAGCAAGGCUCCCUAGUAACGGAGCAGUGUUACUGGCGUUUUUUGGGUCGAUAGUGCUUAGGUGAGGUUUUGCUCGAAUCGGGAGCGGGUCACUCGCUUGGGCGAGUUAGUUUUCGCUCGUAGUUUCCAAUCUGGCUAGAUCAAUGUAAGGUUGUUUUGACUGCUAUUUGGCAAGCAGAAAGACAACAGCGGUUAAUUGACUGAGUAUGGGCGACCGAGGUAUGUAGGUGUCAAUAGACCGACUCCACAAGUUGCGAAGCGAACCGAUAGCACUUGAGGGGAAACGCCUCGGUUUUCGGUUCUAACAUGUGUUAUCCAUGCUGUCGUUAUACUCUGGCAAGGCUCCUCAAUCUAUCGCGAGGGACACUCAUUAUUGCCCGCAAGCUUUAGAACCUGACGUGGGUCGAUGCGUAUGCGAGUCCGAGGACGCGAUGGCAUUUGAUAAGGCUACCAACCGGUUGAUAACACGCAUUGUUCAAAUUGUUAGGUUUAAGUCUGCUAGGGCUGGGGUGGGAA